rnacentral:lncRNA from 1 species
GGUAACCUGCUGGGGUUCCCUUCCACGCUGUGGGAGGUUUGUUCUUUCGCUCUUUGCAAUAAUUCUUGCUGCUGCUCACUCCUUGGGUCCACACUGCCUUUAUGAGCUGUAACACUCACUGUGAAGGUCUGCAGCUUCAGUCCUGAAGCCAGCGAGACCACGAGCCCACCAGAAGGAACGAACGACUGCAGACGUGCCGCCUUAAGAGCUAUAACACUCACCUCGAAGAUCCGCAGCUUCACUCCUGAGCCAGCGAGACCAAGAACCCACCAGAAGGAAGAAACUGCCAACACAUCCGAACAUCAGAAGGAACGAGCUCCAGACACGCAGCCUUUAAGAACUGUAACACUCACUGCGAGGGUUCGCGGCUUCAUUCUUGAAGUCAGUGAGACCAAGAACCCACCAAUUCCGGACCCACUGGCAUUACAGGCGUGAAUCACUGUGUCUGGCCAAAAAGGAUCUAAUCUUAUAGCAGUGGAAUGAGGGGGAAGCCCAGCAAGGCCCAUCUGUUUGGAGUCUUCCUGGACUUCUGGGGCCUGACCCUUUUGGAACGGGGGUUUUAAGAUUCAUAAUCGACAAAUGGGUUCUUGAUAUGUUGCCCAGGCUGAGAGUUUCGUUAUGGCCAGCUGUGACACAGAAAGGUGAGGAAAAUUAGAGUAAUAUUUUUCACUUUAUGGCUGCCUUUGGGGAAAAAGGGUUCUGUUUUGUAUGAUCUACCCUGGGGAAGAGAAAUUCUAUUUUCUGUGUCUUGCCUCAGGGCAGAAUGAGAGUGAGACAGGAGGGCAGAAGAAAGUCAAAGAGAAACUUUGCUUCUGAGGCCUUCACUUUGGGGUAGCAUUUUCUGACUCCACCACCACCUACUUUCUGUGGUUACAAUCUGCAGCUCACAGGUCUGAGUUGGGGCCAGAGUGGAUGCACCAUAGACUCAGACAGAUAGCUUCUCAUAAUGACCACGUCCAGGUUCAGGGACCACCACUGUUACCUGACUCUUUGAUUCUCACAGGGAUUUUAUCUUAGGAAUUUGUUGCCCUUCACUUUCUUUAUUGCUUCUUCACCACUGGGUCCUGGUUGGGCCUUCUCUGUCUAUCCCAAUUUGCAUAAAAACUUUUGGGAAAUGUUGAGUUUUGAUCUCUUCCCUUCCAGAAGACCUUGGGAUCCUAUUUAAAUCUGAAUAUCCCUUUUCCAGGCAUCUUCAAGCUUACUUAAUGUUUUCUUUGAAAAAAUAAAGAUGUCUUUUAUCAAGUAUACUGCUACAAUUUUGUAGGUACCAAGUUGUUGAAAAUCCCUCCACCGGAAUCUGUAUCUGCACCGUAUCUGUGUCCCUAACCCAUCCCUACCUGUAUUUAAUCUCUAUGUCCAUCAUUUAAAAUCUCCAUCCCUCCCCUACGUCUCUUCAUAUCUCUGCAAAUAACAUAGUCGUUACUUUUUCCUUAUUUUGCUCUGACUGCUUAAUUUUAUUGGCAUUACUACAUGAAUAGGUAAAUAAAUUAGUGUGCCAGGAACUCAGUGGUGAUUUGGUUUUGAAUUCACACAGUGGCUGGAGAAGAAGAAAUAUGGUGAAGAGAUGCAGGUAUCAUGAGGAAAGCCAUCGGGCUUGAUGAGCAGUGCUUUGAGAUGUUGAGGAAAGGCAGAAAUCAAAGAUGACACAAUGUUUAACCACCUGGUUGAUUUAAAGAGUAGUAGUGGAAUCAACAUUAUUGGGGGAGUCAAAAGAUAUGAGUUAUUUUGUAGGGAAAAGCAUACAUCUAGUUAUGGAUUGAUUUUGUGUGUGUGUGUGUGUGUGUGUGUGUGUGUGUUUUCAGAUGGAGUCUCACUCUAUUGCCCAGGCUGGAGUACAGUGGUGUGAUCUCGGCUCACUACAACCUCCGUCUCCUGGGUUCAAGCAAUUCUCCUGCCUCAGCCUCCCAAAUAGCUGGGACCACACAUGUGCACCACCACGCCCAGCUAAUGUUUUUGUAUUUUUAGUAGAGAUGGAGUUUCACCAUGUUGGCCACACUGGUCUUGAACUCCUGACGUCAAGUAAUCCACCCACCUCAGCCUCCCAAAGUGCUGGGAUUACAGGUGUGAGCCACCACGCCUGGCCUACAUUGAUUGAAUUUGAAAAUACAUUUAGAUAUCAAAGUGGGAAUGGCCAUCACUCUAAUAGACUUUUCAGAGCCAGAAUCACUACAGUGAACCUUGAUGUGAUUAUCAUCGGGCAGUAUCUGUGUCAAUGUUCACAUAUGGUAUAGUCAGUCCAAAUUCUCACUUAAAAGUAAAAGAAUUAUGAUCAGUAGAAGUAAAGUUCUGCCCUCUAUUAAAGCUAAUGGGCAUCAAAAAUUUCUUAUUUAUUUUACAUGAAAAAAACAUAAAGAAUGUUCACUGAGCCUUGGUCUUUUGUGGUUCCAUUUUUCAGGAGAGAAUAGGAGGAAAAAGAAACUCGCUGAGGCUGUUCCAAACAGGAAACCGACUAUGCUGUCUAUUAAUCUCCAUUCUCCUUUGAGUGACUUUUCUUUCUUUAUUUAAAGAUUUAUUUCCAGUCAUAUGCCUGUGUUUUCAUAGCCAUUAGGAUAGGGAAUUAUAAGAAGAAAUAGACACGGAUAAGAAAGAAAGGCAAGGAGUUUUAUGUGUGGAUGAGUUUAAUAAAUAUUAAGAGCAAAACAGAUUUUUAAAAGGCAUCCUUUACAAAUGUGCAUAACACUUUGUGAUUCAAUUAUAAAUAAAAUACUCCUCUACCCUCUUUUUCUUGAGAGCCUCAUGAUAAAGCUUCAACAACCGUGUGUUUAGUACUCGAGAGACUUUUAGAAAAAGGUCUUUUUAUACAUACAACAUAGUACAAAACAGAAUCAUUAGAGAAAAGUAAAGCAGUCAAUAUGACCUACAGCUUCCAAUUUUCAACUUAAUAUUGAAAGUUGCUUUUCUUUCAGCAAUUAUUGAUGUGGAUGAACUAACUGACACCAUUUUAAGUCAUCUGUAGAAUUCUUUUUCUAACCACUUAAGAGAAAACAAAAAAAAAGCUGUAGUUCAAAACUUAUGAAACUUUAAAAGAACUCAUCCGCAUCAGCACUAAAAUGUCAAUGGUCAAUGUCUAUUUUCUGCAAAUACAAAAUUUAAAUUUAGAAUUCUUUUUGGUGACUAAACUGUGCAUUAGAAUUUAUUUACACACUCUCAUUUUGCAGACACAGACCAAAGGCCAAAGAUGUUAAAUGACUUGCCCGUAGCAUUCAGCUAAUUAGCAUUGAAUCGGAGAUUCUUGAGUCCCAGGUAUACAGAUCUUUAAAACAGUUCAAAUCAAAGCUGAAGAAAAUAUAUUAUUGUCAAAUUAAAGCAGACCCUCAGUUUUUCAUACAUCACAUUUUUUAUAAAAGAGAAAUGAAACAAUAAUGAGUUUAGUGUUUUUCCAUGGACUUAAAAAUAUUUUCUUAUUUAAAAAUUACUUCCAGUUAGAUCACCAAACUGAGAUGAACUUUCAGUGUUUUUGAGGUUCACACAAGUUCAUCAUUUUGACCAGAAAUCAUGUGACUGCUAUUUCGAACUUUGGCAGAAACUGCUAGAAAAAAGUCCCUCAAUGGUCAGAAAUGACCCUUCUCUAUUCCCUCCACCAGAGCUUGAAAUAGUGGGAUGAUUAGGGAAUUAACACUUGGCUUAGUAUUCUUAUGACUUCUCCGGGCUGGCCCUCACCACUAGGUACUGCAUAUCUUAGAAGUCAGCCCUCUUAAGAUUUUCUAGUCCAGUGGGUUAGGAAUGUUCAGAGGGCUUGUGGUUAAGCACUUGUGUUAAUUUCUUCCUUCUCCCACAUUUUAUAGACUGGAAAACCCCUCUGAUUUUUCAUUUUAUGAAUUUGGAAAAAAGUCAGAUGUUUAAAUUUAAAAAGAUAUUAUCAUUCAACACAUUAAUGGCAUAUUUUGCAAGUUUACCUAUGAAGAAGACUAAUGUUGAUAACAGCAGUAGAACAAGACAUAAUUAUUUUAUAUUAAAUAUAGCAUUUAUUAAAACUUUUGUGUGCUGUUUCUGUAGAGAUGAGAACCAGACAUUUAUUUCCUUCAAAUUUCUCAUUAAUGAAUGUGCUUAUAUGUUAAAGCACAACACGUAGAUUGCAAUUCUAGGCUGCAUUUUUGGAAACCUUCCAUGCUCUUUUUGAAAUUCCAGGGACUGGAAAAUUAGGGCCAUUUUAAAGUUUUUAUAUAUAUAAAACAAAGCCCAAAAUAACAAAAUUACAAAAGGCAAACUACAAUCAGCUGAAUGGCCACUAAAUUGGCUAGGACUUAUUCCUCUGCUUGUAUUGAUUGGUUGAGCAUGGCACCCUCUAAUAUUAGACUGAGCUUAACUUGUGGAGAGGGCCUAUUGCUCAGUUGGAUGAAGUUGCUGUCACAGCACACCUGUGACAUUAGAGUUGUCUGGCCAAUUUAGCUGAAAGGGUUAGAGAGUGGUAACUGUGAACUCAAGGUUGUGAUCAUUUUCUGCUUUUCAAAGAGAAAAAAACUGUUUUAUAAUCACUAACGGGAGCUCUUUCUCUAGUCAUGGAUGCCUACUGCUCUUCAUUAGGAGCAAUGGAAAGUGGUAAAAUGCAAACCUAGCAUUUCUGCCACAGAAUAAACUUAAAGCUCAGAGAUCAAAGGUAUAUCAUGUAGCCUAGUGGUCAGGUGUAUUGGCUUGGAGCUUCAUCAGCCUGAGUUAAAAUCACAGCUCAGCUUCUUAUUAUCUGUAUAACCUUGUGGAAGCUAUUUGACUGUGUGAAGAGGUCAAAAAAUAUAUUUAACUCGUCAGCUUUUCGGGAGAUUUUAUGUGCCUUGCAAGUAAGAUUCAAUAAAAAUUAGCUACCUUUAUUAAUUAUUUCAUCGUUAUAUACACAUGGAUGGUUUUGUGUCUACUGUUCCAGUAAAAUGGUCAACAUUUAUUCUUCUGUUGAGAGCAUUCUUGAAGCACUUCAGCUGUCGACCCACACAUACAAUUUACAUUAUUCAUUGUUUUGCUAAAUCACUUUUUGAAGUGCUCUUCAUUUAUCUGUUCUCUCCACAGUACUUAAUAGAAAUGAUUUUCAUCAUUGUAAAUUCCCUUCACAUAGAUUGGCUAUCAAUGCUAAACAAGUGAUGAACACCAUUAAAACAAACAAACAAACAAACUAAAGACAAAUCCCUUUUUAUUUUGAAAUAAUUUUAGACUUACAGAAAAAGUGCAAAUUGCUCAGAGUUCUCAUAUUUCCCUAAUGUGAGCAACUGACAUAGCCAUUGUACAAUGAUCAAAAACCAAGGCAUUAAGAUUGAUACCAUAGUUUUGAGCAAUAGAUCUUAUUAGGAUUUUACCAGUAUUUCCCCUAAUGUUCUUUUUCUUCUCCUGAAUUUAACCCAGCUUCCUCCAUUGCACUUAGUUGUGAUACCUCCUUAGUUUCCUCUAAUCUGUGACGGUUUGUCAUUGUGUCUUUGUCUUGUGACCUUGACGCUUUUAGUGAGAGACAGUGAGUUUGAGUUACUUUGUAAAAUGCCUCUGAUGUUUUCUCAUGACUAGAUUUUUGUUAUGUAUUUUUACCAAAAAUAACACAGAAGUGACAUUGGGUCCUUCUCAGGGGGUACAUGACCUUGAUGUCUUAUUACUGGUAAUACCAACUAUAAUCACAUAAAUAAUCACAUAAAUAGGAUAGUAUGUGCUGGAUUUAUCCACUAUAAAAUUGCUAUUUUAUCUUCACAAUUGAUCACAAUUUUGGGGAAGAUUUAUGAGACUAUUGUAAUACCCUGUUUCUCCUCAAAUCUUUGCCUACCCUUUUUCAGCAUUUGUCAGUGGCUCUUGUCUUCAACAAUUAUUACUGUCAUAUUCGCCCAAUGGUGAUUUAGUACUUCCCCCACUUCUACACUUAUUAGUUAAUUUUUUUUCUAUGAGGAAGAGUUAUCCCUUCUCCUCAUUUAUUUUUCACUCAAUUAUGUGUUUAUAUCAAUAUGGACUCAUGGAUAUUUAUUAUAUUCUAGAAGUACUAACUCAAUAAUGUCAUCUAUUUGUUUCUCAGGUUGUUCCUACUUUGGCCAUUGGAGCUCUUUCCAGUUAGCUUCUCUUCCUUGGACAGCUUCCAUACGUUUUUGAGCACUUCCUUAUUUCUGACACCAGAAGAUGACUCAGGCUUGACUUGUAUUCUCCCCGUCCAACAAUGGAAUCUGCCAUUUCUCCAAGGAGCCCUGAUUCCUUUUAUUUGAGCGUGGUACAUAGAAGCUGAGCAACUUUUUCUCUCUUUCUAAUAAAUGCUAAUUCAGGAAAAAUAAAAAACUUAUAAAACAAAACUUCUCCUCUCAAAAUAAAAAUAAUUUUACGCAGUCCCAUAAGAGAAUACACAUUUUAAAAAUAUGUACAGCCUAUGCAAUUGACUAGAAUAGUGUUGGUGAGAACAUUCACACUGGCUUUAAUUAAAAAUUAAUGGUUAAUAUUUUUGCACUUUUAUGAAGCAACAGAAAUCUGAUCUUUAGUACUGAGAUAAAGUUUUUGUGUUUGAUGCAGUUUGCCCACCCAAACUAUCUGCGGGCUACAGUUUGCCCAUUUCUAUUCUAGAUUGCUGUUGGGGUAGAUUAGAAUUGUUGAGCGAAUUGACUAAAUUGCUCCAGUCUUUUUGAAAGGCCCAGUUGUCCCUUUGAAAUAUUUAUGGGUUUUUGAAUAAAGGUAGAAAUUAACCCUCCCACUCUUAAAACUUGAAACUUAUAUGUGUCUCAUCUGAGUGGUUUCCUCAGGAAACAGACCCUCACGCAAGGGACUGAAACUCACCAGAUCACCAUAUCCAGACCAUGAGAUCUAAGGUCUCUUACCCAUCGUGAUUGCUCCCUUACCCCUCCCUCAUUCCUGUAUUCCUGCAUGUAGUGACAUCCCUUCUCUGCUAUGUAAGCCCCAAAUUUUAGUGGGUCAAGGAAAAGGAUUUGAGACUUAUCUCCUGUUCUUCUUGACUGCAGCUCACAAAUAAAGUCUUCUUUCCUGGCAAUACUUCUUGUAUCAGGCAUUGGCAUUCUGUAUGGUGAGCAAUGGGAUCUAGACCAAACCCCUGGCAUUUGGUAACAAUUUAAUUUCAUGUCACUGGGUCAUCAUUAUAUAACUUGAGUAAUAGGUGGCAUCAUCUACCUCCUUUUCCUCCUCUUUCUUCUUCCUCUUCCUCUUCCUCUUCUUCUUCUUCCUCUUCUUCUUCUUUCUUUCUUCUCCCUCUCCCUCUCCCUCUCCCCAGUCCCUCAGGAUGUAAAUCAAGCUCUUCACUUGGGAGAGUGGUCAGGAUGAUAGAGCCCAUGGAUUUUCUGCUGGAUCUGCUUUUGCUCAUUACUGCUUUUCCUCACACUUCCUAUGAUCAGAGGGAAAAGCCAUUACCUUCCUCUAUCUGUCUUGGAUAUUACCUUGUUUGCCUCAGCUGCACAAAGAUUAAAUAUUUGUUUUAAGAGUCUUGUUAAUUUUCCGAAGUCAAAAAGCAUUUUAAGUUUGCAAGGGAAAAAGAGGGAGUAGGGUAUUAACAACAACAAAAAACCCAUCAAACUCUAAAAUAUUUUAAAAAGGUUUAUUCUGAGCCAAUAUGAGUGACCAUGCCCAGGGAAAAUGGUCUCAAGAGGUCCUGAGAAAGUGUGCCUUAGGCAGUUGGAUUCCAGUUUGGUUCUAUGAAUUUUAAAGGGACAAGAGUUAUUACAGGCAAAGACAUAAAUCAACACAUGGGAAGUAUAUGUUGGUUUGGCCUGAGCAGGCAAGAUAUCUUGAAAUGAGGGGCUUACAGGUGAUAAGUGGAUUCAGAGAUUCUCUUAUUUGCAACUGGUUAAAGAAGUAAACCUCUGUUUAAAACUUGUAAUCAGCAGAAAGGAAGGUUUUUUUUGAGAGGGAGUCUCACUCUGUCACCCAGGCUUGAGUGCAGUGGCACGAUCUCAGCUCACUGCAACCUCCGCCUCCUGGGUUCAAGCAAUUCUCCUGCCUCAGCCUCCCGAGUAGCUGGGAUUACAGGUGCGUGCCACCACACCUAGCUAAUUUUUUAUAUUUUUGGUAGACACAGGGUUUCACCAUGUUGGCCAGGAUGGUCUCGAUCUCUUGACCUCAUGAUCCACCUGCCUUGGCCUCCCAAAGUGCUGGGAUUACAGGCAUGAGCCACUGCUCCUGGCCGGAAGGUUUUAAUUUAAGGUUAGGAUGUCAUGUAGUAAGAUUAAUGACCUACAGGCAUGACUUAACCCUUGGCCUUGCAUGGACUCAGGGUCUUGUUUAUAAGCUGGUAUCUUAGUGUCACAAAGAGUCUGUUUUGUCAGCCUUAUGAUCUCUAUUUUAACACUAAUGCUACUCAGUUUUGUCUAAACGCUAGCAGGGAUGGCAUGUAACAAGGCGUGUUCAAUCUUCCUGUGAUGGCUAAGAACUCAGUUUUUCAGAUUUCUCUUGGGUCUCCUUGGCCAAGAGGGGGUCUGUUCGGUGAAUUGGGGGGCUUGGGAUUUUAUUUUUAGUUUAAAGAGGGUGUCAGAAAAUCAGGUGACAUGCCCUUUUUUAGUUGUCUUGUUCCUAAAGCCUCUAAGUCUCUUAAGGCUGGGGUGGGAGGCAGAGGUAUACAGAUGCUCUGUCCUCUCUAGACAAGUUAGCAUAGCUAUCUUCCUAGGAUCUUUGCUUCUCCAGUGCUCCUGUGAAAGAAUUCUUAUUUCAUUGUCCCCUCAGAUCCAUCUGCAGUUUCCAGAUCUUCAUAACUUCAGGCAUGGAGUAUACAGGUUUUUUACUACUCUGAGUUGGAUUUUUACUCUGCCAGGAGGCACAAAAAAAUCUUUCUCAGUGUCUGUUAAUUCCUUUGUCAAGGAGUUGUCUCAUCACAUAGAUGGAGAGGUUGAAUGAUAAAAAAUGGCUGAGGUCCCCAUUCUAGGCAACUGCUAGUUCUUACUUUUCUCUGCUCUAAAUUACAUCACAAAGCAUCCCACAUUGACUUGAUAAUAAACUGACAAUUACAAGCAGCCCACAAAAACAAGUUUCUGCUAAUGCGUGAAGAUAAGGGUAAUAAAGCUUGGUGAGUAGCUUCCAUUUUCAAACCUGUUCAUGUCCCCUUAAAACUCUCAGACAGGAACUACUAUCACAGAACACAGGAAAUGUUGAUUUGGGACUGAUAUUUCCAUUUUUUUGAUUCCUCAUUCUUAUCAGUACAACAUUUUUGAACAAGUAUAGGAAAAAAGGGAUUUUUCACUUCCUCUCUGAAGGUUUGAGUUUGCUGAAAUAAACUGACAAUAGAUUAACAGAAAAAGCAUACAGAUUUGUAAAUGUGCAAGUGUGUAUGGGAGCCAUGUGAAAUAUGCGACUCAAAGAAGGGCUAAAUGGGUAGAAUUUAAAUAGCACCCUCUUCAUAGAGCAGAGGGAGAUGGGGUAAUGGAGGCAAUUUGGAGAGGUAGUAAAUAAUCUUUAGGAGAGUUGAUUGAGCCCAAAGAACAGACAAUAGUUUGUAAAUGGUUCUCUUUGGAAAUGGAAUGGGACAGGUGUGGUAACAUUCCUUAGUCUUCCCUCCUACCACGUGAGUUUAAUGCUCUGGUUAAUGAAAUCUCAGGAAGGGGAUUCAAGGCAAUUAUGUUCCUUCUGAAAGAGCUACAGAUAAGGGAACUUCAGAGACAGUGUUCCAUCCUGCACUUAGGGGGAGAAAUAAAGGUUAGACAGUCAUUGGUUCUGAGGCUGCUUCUAAGGCCUUUUAAUUUUUUUUAGUUCAAAGUGCUCAGCACACCAAAGCACCAUACUUUGGGGUAUCGUUUUCUAAGCCUCAACAUAGGCAUUCACAUAUAUGGAU